UACGGAGGGUGCAGGCGUUAUCCGGAUUCACUGGGCUUAAAGGGUGCGUAGGUGGGCAAGUAAGUCAGUGGUGAAAUCUCCGGGCUUAACCCGGAAACUGCCAUUGAUACUAUUUGUCUUGAAUACUGUGGAGGUCAGCGGAAUAUGUCAUGUAGCGGUGAAAUGCUUAGAUAUGACAUAGAACACCAAUUGCGAAGGCAGCUGGCUACACAAAUAUUGACACUGAGGCACGAAAGCGUGGGGAUCAAACAGG
rnacentral:rRNA from 1 species